UGGGGAAUAUUGGACAAUGGGCGAAAGCCUGAUCCAGCCAUGCCGCGUGUGUGAAGAAGGUCUUCGGAUUGUAAAGCACUUUAAGUUGGGAGGAAGGGCAGUAAAUUAAUACUUUGCUGUUUUGACGUUACCGACAGAAUAAGCACCGGCUAACUCUGUGCCAGCAGCCGCGGUAAUACAGAGGGUGCAAGCGUUAAUCGGAAUUACUGGGCGUAAAGCGCGCGUAGGUGGUUCGUUAAGUUGGAUGUGAAAUCCCCGGGCUCAACCUGGGAACUGCAUUC
rnacentral:rRNA from 1 species